ACUAACUAGUCUCGAAGCAAGACAUCUCUUCUAAAUUUGAAUGUUUAUGGGAAAAGAUUGAUUCUAUGCACACCACUGUAACAAACAGCCUUACUGAAAUAAAGUCGGACAUUGCUGAAUUAGGAUAUAGGAUUAAAAUUAGAGGAACAUAAAGAAACAAUAACUGAAGAUCUCUCCUCAGUAUCACAAGCUAUCACUUCUCAACAAAAUUGAAGACCUCGAGAAUAGAGGACGACGCAAUAAUAUUAGAAUGAAAGGCAUCCCUGAAACAAUUCUAAAUAAGGACCUACAAGUUUAUCUACAGCAACUCUUCAAAUCUAUUACAGGAGACAAAGAAGAUUCAAGCUAUAACAUUGAAAAAACCCAUAGAGCCCUCAGAGCUAGACCAAGAGAAGAAGCCCCGCCACGGGAUUUUAUAGUAAAGAUGCUCAACUUCCAAAAAAAGGAGAAAAUAUUUUCUGCAGCAAGACACAAUCCGACCUUCAAAUUCCAAGGAACUGUGGUUCAAUUUUACCAGGAUUUAAGUGCAGAAGUCUAUUGAGACCACUAACAGCCAUGUUGAGAAAACACCAAAUUCAAUAUCAGUGGGGAUUCCCCUUUGCCUUACAUUUUAUCAGAGACGGUAAAGUGUCUAUCAGAGAAGCAUAGGAAAUCCUAGCAAUCUGCCAAAUAUUAGGACUAGAGACUCCACCAACACUGAUGGAUACUCCAUCAUCCUCAUGUACAAACUAACAAAUUCCUCAGCGUACUGCUAGACAGUCCAAAUGGUUAACAGUAAACAAGAAAAAACAGAAUACCUGAGGAUUUAAAAAGCAUUACUGUUAACUGAAAAUUGAUUCAAACAGGGUUCAUAAACCACAUGACCCCUAAUCCAGAACUCUACUCCGCCUUUUAGCGACCAGUCACCAAAGUUUUUCCUGGUUCUUUGUUCUUUUGUCAGUCCAAAUGGAUUCUAUGGACUAUGUUCAAGAUUGUAGUGAUCUCCUUCAAAAUUACACUCCAGACUCUGCCACAACGUUUUGGAAGGUGUUAAGAAGUCUAUUGUGAAGCUGACAGAUUCAAGAACUCUUUGGAGACUAGUAACACUCCUUGACGAAUCUCAAUAAAGUUUGUAAUCUCAGUAUAUAAUUCGACUUUCUUCAUCUAUCUCUAGCAAAAAUGUUUGAAGGAGAUUUGUAAUGUAUAAUUUAACUAUAUGUUUGUUUCUAAUAAUUUCAUUGUUUGAAAAAUGUUCCUUAAUAAAAAAAGAUUUAAACAUAAA